GGGCUAAUAUCCAACAGCACAUAUACUAAUAUUGGAAUGAUACAGAGAAGAUUAGCAUUGUCCCUGUGCAAAGAUGACACGCAAAUGCACAAAUUCAGUUUUA